rnacentral:rRNA from 1 species
AGAGUUUGAUCCUGGCUCAGAACGAACGUUGGCGGCAUGGAUUAGGCAUGCAAGUCGAGCGAAUCCCAGCAAUGGGGGGAAGCGGCGAAAGGGGCAGUAAGGCAUGGGUAACCUACCCUGGGGACUGGAAUAGCCCUUCGAGAGAAGGGGUAAUACCGGGCGACGAGCAGACAGGGCAUCCUGUUUUCUCCAAAUGAGUUUCGCCCUGGGAGGGGCCCAUGUGAUAUUAGCUAGUUGGUGAGGUAACGGCUCACCAAGGCGAAGAUGUCUAGCGGGUGUGAGAGCACGACCCGCGCCAUUGGCACUGAGAUACUGGCCAAACACCUACGGGUGGCUGCAGUCGAGGAUCUUCGGCAAUGAGCGCAAGCUUGACCGAGCGACGCCGCGUGUGCGAUGAAGGCCUUCGGGUUGUAAAGCACUGUCGAGAGGGAGAAAGGGAAACUUGAUCUAUCUCUGGAGGAAGCACGGGCUAAGUUCGUG